GACGAACCGUGCGAACGUUGUUCGGAAUCACUGGGCUUAAAGGGCGCGUAGGCGGGCAAGCCAGUCCGGGGUGAAAUCUUUCGGCUCAACCGGAAAAGUGCCUUGGAUACUGCUUGUCUGGAGGGAGGUAGGGGCCCGUGGAACUUCCGGUGGAGCGGUGAAAUGCGUUGAUAUCGGAAGGAACGCCGGUGGCGAAAGCGACGGGCUGGAUCUCUACUGACGCUGAGGCGCGAAAGCCAGGGGAGCAAACGGG
rnacentral:rRNA from 1 species